CUGCAGCUCAAGUGGUGACCACUAUUAUUGGGCCUAAAACGUUCGUAGCCGGUUUGGUAAAUGCCUGGGUAAAUCGUGUAGCUUAACUAUACUACUUCCGGGUAGACUGCUAAACUUGAGACCGGGAGAGGCUAGAGGUACUCCUGGGGUAGAGGUGAAAUUCUGUAAUCCUAGGGGGACCACCAGUGGCGAAGGCGUCUAGCUAGAACGGGUCUGACGGUGAGGGACGAAGCCCUGGGGCACAAACCGGAUUAGAUACCCGAGUAGUCC
rnacentral:rRNA from 1 species